rnacentral:pre_miRNA from 1 species
AGGAGGAACAGCCCCAGUGGCGGGGCAGCUCUGGAAACCUGGAUUCAGCCCCCGCAGGAACUCCGGAACUCUCCGUCUGCAGGGCCUGGAGGCUCCGGGGCGGG